rnacentral:rRNA from 1 species
GACGAACGCUGGCGGCGUGCUUAACACAUGCAAGUCGAACGAUGAAGCCUAGCUUGCUAGGUGGAUUAGUGGCGAACGGGUGAGUAAUACGUGAGUGACCUACCUUUGACUCUGGGAUAAGCCUGGGAAACUGGGUCUAAUACCGGAUACGACCAAUCUCCGCAUGGGGUGUUGGUGGAAAGCGUUAUGGAGUGGUGUUAGAUGGGCUCACGGCCUAUCAGCUUGUUGGUGAGGUAAUGGCUUACCAAGGCGACGACGGGUAGCCGGCCUGAGAGGGUGACCGGCCACACUGGGACUGAGACACGGCCCAGACUCCUACGGGAGGCAGCAGUGGGGAAUAUUGCACAAUGGGCGCAAGCCUGAUGCAGCGACGCCGCGUGAGGGAUGACGGCCUUCGGGUUGUAAACCUCUGUUAGCAUCGAAGAAGCGAAAGUGACGGUAGGUGCAGAGAAAGCGCCGGCUAACUACGUG